UACGUAGGUGGCAAGCGUUUGUCCGGAAUCAUUGGGCGUAAAGCGCGCGCAGGCGGUCCUUUAAGUCUGAUGUGAAAGCCCACGGCUCAACCGUGGAGGGUCAUUGGAAACUGGGGGACUUGAGUGCAGAAGAGGAAAGCGGAAUUCCACGUGUAGCGGUGAAAUGCAUAGAGAUGUGGAGGAACACCAGUGGCGAAGGCGACUUUCUGGUCUGUAACUGACACUGAGGCGCGAAAGCGUGGGGGAGCAAACAGG
rnacentral:rRNA from 1 species